GAUGAACGCUAGCGGCAGGCUUAAUACAUGCAAGUCGUGGGGCAGCAGGUCUGUAGCAAUACAGAUGCUGGCGACCGGCGCACGGGUGCGUAACGCGUAUCCAACCUUCCCGAUACUCAGGGAUAGCCUUCCGAAAGGGAGAUUAAUACCUGAUGGUGUUCAAAUUCCGCAUGUUAUUUGAACUAAAGAUUUAUCGGUAUCGGAUGGGGAUGCGUGACAUUAGAUAGUAGGCGGGGUAACGGCCCACCUAGUCUACGAUGUCUAGGGGUUCUGAGAGGAAGGUCCGCCACACUGGAACUGAGACACGGUCCAGACUCCUACGGGAGGCAGCAGUGAGGAAUAUUGGUCAAUGGUCGGAAGACUGAACCAGCCAAGUAGCGUGAAGGAUGAAGGUUCUAUGGAUUGUAAACUUCUUUUAUACGGGAAUAAAACCUCCCACGUGUGAGAGCUUGUAUGUACCGUAUGAAUAAGCAUCGGCUAACUCCGUGCCAGCAGCCGCAGUAAGAC
rnacentral:rRNA from 1 species